rnacentral:rRNA from 1 species
UUACACAUGCAAGUCGAGGGGUAACAGAGAAAAGCUUGCUUUUUUGCUGACGACCGGCGCACGGGUGCGUAACGCGUAUGCAAUCUACCUUUUGCUAAGGGAUAGCCCAGAGAAAUUUGGAUUAAUACCUUAUAGUAUGAUGACUUGGCAUCAAGAUAUCAUUAAAGGUUACGGCAAAAGAUGAGCAUGCGUUCUAUUAGCUAGUUGGUAUGGUAACGGCAUACCAAGGCAACGAUAGAUAGGGGUCCUGAGAGGGAGAUCCCCCACACUGGUACUGAGACACGGACCAGACUCCUACGGGAGGCAGCAGUGAGGAAUAUUGGACAAUGGAGGCAACUCUGAUCCAGCCAUGCCGCGUGCAGGAAGACUGCCCUAUGGGUUGUAAACUGCUUUUAUACAGGAAGAAACACCUCUACGUGUAGAGAUUUGACGGUACUGUAAGAAUAAGGAUCGGCUAACUCCGUGCCAGCAGCCGCGGUAAUACGGAGGAUCCAAGCGUUAUCCGGAAUCAUUGGGUUUAAAGGGUCCGUAGGUGGAUAAUUAAGUCAGAGGUGAAAUCCUGCAGCUUAACUGUAGAAU